GCCGCGAGGUAGAGCAAAUCUCAAAAAAACAAUCUCAGUUCAGACUGCAGGCUGCAACUCGCCUGCACGAAGUCGGAAUUGCUAGUAAUCGUAGGUCAGCAUACUACGGUGAAUACGUUCCCGGGCCUUGUACACACCGCCCGUCAAACCAUGAGAGUUGGCAACACCCGAAGUCGGUAGUCUAACCGCAAGGAGGACGCCGCCGAAGGUGGGGUUGAUGAUUAGGGUUAAGUCGUAACAAGGUAAC
rnacentral:rRNA from 1 species